UCUGCCCUCUCUCUCGACAACUGUUGCUUUCCACACUCUGCUUCCGCCCCUCCUUUCCCUCCGCUCCAUCAUCUUCAGAGUGUGGUCCUCUAUUAACUAAAGUUUUCUCAAACCCUAACUAACCCCCUUCCUACGCUUCUCAUUAGCAUUUGUGAACCGAACCGAACCAAUGGCACAGGAGCCUUCUUCCCCUGGUGGUUCUUUGGGAGUCAAAUCGGUCGACGAAGUUCAAGCUAUGAUUCAAAAGAGUCUUCAACUUCCAAAGGUGAAGUUCUUGAGGCAACGCAUGGCAGAAGCUGGCUGUGCUGUGAAGGACAAUUUCUUCAGAGCUGUUGUUUGCCAAGGGAGGAAAGGCAUGGCUUAUUUUGCUCCUGCUCACGGGAUAUUUGUGUGCAGCAACCAUGUGACAUUUCAAGAUGAGGUCAACCAGUUGAUAAUUCAUGAGCUAAUUCAUGCAUAUGAUGACUGUCGUGCUGUCAAUUUACAUUGGAAUAAUUGUGCUCACCAAGCUUGUAGUGAGAUACGAGCUGGUCAUUUAAGCGGUGAUUGUCAUUUCAUGCGGGAACUACUUCGUGGUCAUUUCAAAUUGCGAGGGCAUGAACCGGUACACUUUUACUUUUUUUCCUCUGUUAAUACCUAACCUUUAUUUUUUCUUCCAAUUAAAUCUUCCAAUAGAUUUACAUUCCACAUCUUAUCAUGAUUGUUUUAAAUCUGAAUUCAUUACAUGUUGAUUGAGGAGAAAGUAUCUGAUUUCUGUAAAGUCUUCCAUGAAGCAUUAAUCUCAAAAUUUUAUAAAGUGCACUUGGUGCUGGAGGGGAUUAGGAAUGCAAAAUAAAUCACUCGAUGUUGCACCUAAAUCUUUUGAAACAUAUCAAAACAUAAAAAUGAGGGUUCCUUUGUUAUUAUUAUGAUUAUUGGAUGCCAAAGAAUAUUCUUGCUACAGUUUACGCCAUCUUCUUUAGUCACCCAUGUAAGCUAUAAUGGAUUAUUGUUACAUGGGUCCAUUAACCAGUAACCAACUAUUGAUCUGAUAACUUGUCAUGUGAUAAAUACAUGAGAUAUGAUCUGAUCAAUACAAGUACAAGUUUCAGCCAAGUAAGUAAGUAGCUAGCUUUAAAAUGAUAGGCCAAGUUAAGUUGCCAGAUCAAUGAUCAAUGAUCAAAGACUUCCACCAACUUUUAAGGAUGGUAUAAAAAAAUUGUUUGUGAUCAAUGCCAGUGUCAUUUCCAUGAUCAAACUUAUCAUCCAUGUUAGCUGUUCCAAAUUCCAAUGCAAAAUAAUUUGCAACUUAUGCGUAGUUGUAAUUUACUAUCUAGUCUGUCUUCACUAAGGUGAUUCAUCUUCUGUUGAAUAUUUAUUUGUUGGUUGUUAAAUUAGUAGACGGGGUCGAAAAAUGCAAGGCAUAGGGAGUUAAUUACCAAGAGGGAUAAUUUGAAUUCGAAUGGAUAUAUUGCUCCUAACAGACCUAACUACAUGUAUUGCUGGUUCUCCUUUGACUUAGAUGAACCAAAGGAGUGUAUUAGAAGAAGAGUCUUGUUAUCUUUGUUUUCAAACCCCAAUUGUGUUGGUUCAGCUGCCAAGGAUUCAAUGGAAGAUGUAUGGGAUAUUUGUUACAAUGACACACAGCC